rnacentral:lncRNA from 1 species
AAUCAAAUUACAAACUAAGAAUAAAGGCAAAAAUAAAUUACAAUAAAAAUUAAAUCAGAUCAAGCCAUGCUAUGUUGACUUUGUUCACUGCCAAACCCUGCUAUGUUGAUGAUGACUGCCAUUGAUGCACAAGCCAUGCUUAUUGAUACAUAUGUUCCUGUUUUAACUAAUUAGAGAAACAUAAAAACAUUUUUUUUAAGUCAGUCUUGGUACACUUUGUGCAGAAAAAAGAGACAAAUUUUUGAGUUUAAAAAAAGAAACUAAAAGACAAAUAAAAGCUCAGCAAAUCAACAGAUCAAAACAAAUAAGCUAAAACUACGAAGGUAUCAGAGAUGCAAAAAAAUGCAGAUGAUGAGCAAAGAAAACGAAACAUCAAACAAAGAACUAGAAAGCUCAAACUCAAACAGAGACACAGCCAAGAAAACAACUAAUCAGAUAAAAAAAACUCUAUAAAUACAUCCGCUUUUUUACAAAGAGGAGGGGGAUUUGGAGGGGAAGAAACACAUCUAAAGAAGAGAAUUGUAUUUUUUAAAAAAUAGAAGAAACAUUUCUUUUUUUAAAAGAGAGAUUUGGAAACAAAAAUAGUUGAGCAUAGAAGGAGCAACAACCCAACUCAAUCCUUAAAAUCAUAUAUAUUUAGAAGUAAAAAUAAGAGAAAAGGAGAGAAAUUGAAAUCACCGUCAUUUCCACCGGCAACUGCUGCUAUCAGCCGUGCACCGCUGUCGUCGCCGCCACUUCUCCUUUUUGGUAUGUGUCCUUGUCAUGCUUGUUGUUAUUUUUUCUAUACUUGUUUCUGUUUUAUUUUAAAAUAGGUUUACUUGCUUAGGAUUUAUUGAGCUUUGAAUGAGUUUACUUCUAUUUUGAGAUGAUGUUGGUUUCNNNNNNNNNNNNNNNNNNNNNAAAAAAAAAAAAAAAAAAAAAAAAAAAAGAUGAGGCUAAGGUGUU